UGGCUAUUUAAUUUAUUAUUAUUUUACUUUAUUCCUGGCGUGAUGUUUAAUUACUCUUCAACACAGUACUCUUUACUGUUGAAAGUUGAAAACUCUCACUGCUUAAUUAACAUGCUAACAAUUUUUAUUUUUUAUUAUUAUUUGGAUUCUUCACAGUCAUUGCAAUAAUUAUGCAGAAGACUUUUUGGACACAUACAUCGAUCGAAUUCAUGGAGAGAGCAUAAUAUCCAAAGGGAACAGCAACAUGAAUACCAAAGAAGAUUAAAGAUUUGAAGCCUUGAUAGAGAUUUUUCAAUAAUGAGAGAUCUCAAUCUUGAAUGAAGAUCGUACUAUUGAUGAUAGGUGGCAUAAUGUCAGAUCAUAAACGAGUGAAAGGUAUUUAUUAUUACCACAUUUAUAUUUGCAUAUAUAAAUCAAAGUAUAAAUAUGUUGUAGAAAUAAUCCAAAGCAUGAUCAUAAAUUUGAUUUGAAAUGAAACCAUUUUU